CUUGGAGCUUUUGGAGUACACUUCCACUAAAGUUAUAGCAUGCUUGAAUGGUUUAUUUCACCAAUAUUUGCUUAUGGAAAUAAAGGGGAGUGGCCGAGGAGAAAGGAGAAGAGGAGUGGAGGAGGGGUUUGAGGCUGAGGGAGGCUCUGACCACAGCACAGAGCACCGGCAACUUUGUCUAAUGUGAUCAUUAACCUUCCUGCAAAACACAGCUGGCAGUUCUCUGAGGUUUGUCACUAGAAUGUGAAGACAGCCACACAGAUAUUGCACAGACUAUUUACAGAUCGUUUGGUUUACAUUGAGAGUCAUUGCUCUACUUUUGUGCGGUAGGAAAAUGAGAUUUCAGCAAUUCCUUUUUGCAUUUUUUAUUUUUAUUAUGAGUCUUCUCCUUAUCAGCGGACAGAGACCAGAGAAAUUAGAAAGUUAAAGUUUUCUGAACCACAAACCCAACUUUAAAUAAAAAGUUAAUUUGACCAUGAGAAGAAAACUGCGCAAACACAAUUGCCUUCAGAGGAGAUGUAUGCCUCUCCAUUCACGAGUACCCUUUCCCUGAGGUAUCUCUCUAGCUAACUUUACUGGAUCUAUCAGAAGAAGAAGAGGAGUGAAGGAAAGACACCCAGCCACACAAAAGAACUUCAUGAUGCCAACAGCGUGAUUGCUUAGAAGUUCCUACACAAAAAAAGGAUCAUUUGAAAGCACCUGGAAUGGUUUAUUAGCUUCACAGGAUUUUAUUCUUCUUGGCUUCUAUUUGGAGGGAAAAUAACAUAAAUUCAAAAGGAUUCCAAUCUGAAGCCCAAAUCGUUUGCCUACAUAACAAAAAUAUCUCAUCUUUUCCUGCACAUUAUUAUUCUUUUAUGGGUUAAAAAGAAAAAUACCUUUUAGUGUUUUAGAACUCUCUCAUGGUAAAAAGUGCAAGAAUUUAAAAUGUUGCUUUCAUAUUCCUAUAAUUCUCCAAAAGUAUUAAAUUCGUAUAUGUUUGAGUGAUUUUCUAAAAACUGCUCAACCUGAAAUCAAUUGCAUUGACCAUUUGGCUUCGCACAAUAGGGAGAAAAUAAUUGGUUCAUUGAUUAUAUAGAGAGAAAGACUAAGAAAAGCUAUUAAUUGCUACCAAUUUUAUGAUAAGCUUUAAGGUUUAUGAAAGUAUGUUUUUUUAUUUAAUGAGUAAUGUCCAUUUGAAGUUGAAAGAAAACAUGAAAUCCUAAUUGUAGUUCAUUUUAUGUUCAAAUGAAACCAUUGUUUUUGUUUUUGUUUUGAAACAGAGUCUCACUCUGUUGCCCAAGGUGGAGAGAAGUGGCACGCUUUUGUCUCACUGCAACCUCCACCUCCCGAGUUCAAGUGAUUCUCGUGCCUCAACCUCCCAAUUAUAGGCUGGGAUUACAGGUGUGCACCACUACACCCAGCUAAUUCUUGUAUUUUUUGUAGAGAUGAGGUUUUACCCUGUUGCCCAGGCUGGUCUUGAACUCAGGCUGGAACCAUUCAUUUUUUAACCUUUCUCAUCAUGUAAUUAUAGGAACCCAACGUUUGAUUUCCUUUGAAGUUUUGUUAUGUCCUUUAUUAUUUUGUAUGGAUAAUUUCUUUAAAAGUCUUACUUAAAGUUGACAUCUAAAAUACAGUUAUGCCAAUGAAGUCCCACUCAGGGUGAUAUCUGUAUCUAAAAGAUGAGUGCUCAUCAUCCUAUUAGGCUUUGUCUUGGUGGUGUUCAUCCUGAGAUGCUGAGACAUGGAAAUAAAAAAUCAGAAGGAAUUUAGGGAUAUGAUUACUCAAAAAAGAAACUAUCCUGUCUAAAUUUGAAUUGUGUUGAUAACUAGGUGUUCCCCAGAUGCUAAGAUGUUCUUAAUUUGUAUUUAUUGAAGGAUUGUUAGCUUAGUGCCACAAAAUUUUUCUUACUUUAUGUUAAUUCCAGAUAAGAAAUUUACAAGUUUAUAUCUUUUUUUUUCUUUUUUUUAAGAUGAGAUCUGGCUCUAUCACCCAGGCUAAAGUGCAGUGGCAUGAUCUAGGCUAACUCCCUGGCUCAAGCGAUCCUUCCACCUCAGCCUCCCAAGUACCUGGGACUACAGGCACUCACGGCCACACCUGACUAAUUUUUGUAUUUUUUUGUAGAGAUGGAGUAUCGCCAUGUUGCCCAGGUUGGUCUCAAACUCAGGCUGGUGAGCUCAAGUGAUCCGCCUCCUUGGCCUCCCAAAAUACUGGGAUUACAGGCAUGUGCCACCAUGCUGGGCCACAAGUUCAUAUCUGGAGUAGAAGUUUUACUUUGUAAAUAUUAUAAAGUAGAAGAAACCAUAAACCAUUUUGCUAAAAUGAAAGGUUGGGGUUAAUAUAAAUGUAAUUUUAAAUAGAAAAUCUGACAACACUGUCGAGUUUGUCUUCCUGUCAAAGCUUAUUAAAAGUGUCUUUGCGGAUGAAUGGUACUUUCCACAAGUGCAUUUGAGUAGAAGCAUAACCUAUUCUCAGUUAUAUUUAUGUUUAAAACAUGUACUGGUUUGUAUAUUUUGUACUGAAAAAGAAAACACUUUAUAGUCAAGAUACAUCUCAUUCAAUACAAGUCUAAACUCUUUCAAAUACAAAUUCGCAUAUUCACAGAAAAAGUUACAAAUCAGUUUUACUAUUGUAAAGUAAUGAAAUGGUUAUACAUUUCUUAAUUGUUCAAUAAAACACUCAAUGAUUUGCAUGUCUGGCUGUCCUUACUUUGUAUAAGAAAUGUUCAGUGUUGACUUCCUUUGAGGAAUGAAAAUCAUUGUUUGCUGUACAUUUGAUCAGAAGAAAAAAGAAAAACUGAAAUUAGUGAAGUCAGUGAAGUCUUCGGUCCCGUCCUGAAUCAUUUUUACCCUCUGUUUAGGGACAGGUCUAGAACGAGUGAGCACAAAACUGAAGAGUGUGCCGAAAAUCUCAGCAAUCAAGAUAACAUUUGAACUCCAUUUUUGAAAAAAAUAAAAACUAACACCCACGAAAAAUACAUGAUGAAUAAAACAAUCUCUUGAACCCAGGAGGAUGAGGUUGCAGUGAGCCAAGAUUGCACUACUGCACUCUGGCCUGGGCAACAAAGCAAGACUCUGUCAAGAAAGAGAAAG
rnacentral:lncRNA from 10 species